rnacentral:lncRNA from 1 species
ACAAAACAAAAUUGUUAAUAGCUCUCAGUUAGAAACCUUCCCGGGCUUUUUGUGUCUUGUGUGUUAAGUUGAGUUAUUUUGAAGGUAAAAUGGACACUCAAGGAAAUAUAGAAAUAAUUUGGCUUUAUAUUGGAAAAGGAGCUUACAACAGAGUGACGUGACAACACAGUUGUGUCAACGAUGUAUGGAGUGUUCCUUCUGUUGAUAUCAACCUUAUGAAAAAUGUAUACAUAGUCAUGCAUAUAAUGUAAAUUAGUUUACAAAAUUAGUACUUGUAGACAAACUUCUGAAAACCCAAGAGCUCUGAUUUUACUUCACAAUAAGAUGUUGGUGUUCAUCCCACCACAGCAAUUUGUUUUGGUGGACGCGUUGGCUCACCCUUACUUGGAGCAGGGACUAUGACCUACAGAAGCAAAAGAACCAUUCAAAUUAGAAAUGGAAUUGGAUAAUUGGCCAAAGGAAAAAUUAAAGGAGUUGAUUUAUGAAGAAACGAUCAUGUUCGAAGAGCGCGUGGAGCGUUAACAACCAUUGGGCGUUUGAAAUUUCCCUAGGUUUAUUACGUGUUUCCUGUGCCAUUAAGGUACUCGAGCUAAGAACUGGAUAGAAAUGGAGGCGAAGUCGGCCAAGGCCGCGAGAGUGUGCUAAAGUUUUACCUAGCGGUAACGCUUUAAUUUUGAGUUUUUGACACGCAGGUUCAGCAACCGGCUGGGAAUUGGUACCUAGAUUGCGUGAUGAUACUUGUUUUAACUAGGAUGAUCAAGAAGUGAUUUUUAUGAUCACUUAAAUUAACCUUAAGAAAUUGAAAAUCGCUGUAAACUUUUUUAAGGUUCUCAGGAUACUGUUGAAGAAUGAAAAAGGUAUACUAGUUCACAUUUUCUAUAUAAAGCAAAUUAGAUUUCCUGCAACUCUUUCUUGUGUAUUGCAAAAAGUAUUUCACAUAUCUCUAAAUCCGGUGGAUGAGCAAUUUAAGCCUUUGAUUGUGUGCAGAGUUUUCAAUUAAUAGGAAGCAGAUGAGUACUCGAAACUAAACCAUCAAAAUUACCAACUUAAACUUAAUUAAAUCAAACUUACCAACAAACGGUGAAAUAACAAUCUUUUCAAAAAUAACCUUCAUUUAAUCGUUUCUUGUUUGUUGAUUGUCUCAUCCAGGAAUUUAAAGACUAAAUUGCAGUGUUUCUCCACUCAUUCCGCAGCCCUUUUGGCAUUGAGACACCAUCGAGUCGACGUCAGCGAAAUCAUCAGAAUUUUUUCGGCAAAACCUGGCAGCACGUAUACACCCCCACGCGAGCCGCCAGCAAUAAACGUUCUGGCAAUAUAGCAGCAGCAGCAACAACAAUGCCGUUUCGGGACCCGCCUUUAAUGCUGUUUCCGUGUACAGCCCGACCCAGGCCAAGUCCAGACUAUUCCCGAAAGACGUCCCAACACGUUCGUCAAGGUGUAGAAGACUUAAAGCGCAGCAGCUGAGGGCGUAGUGCGUCGCAGUCUCCAACAUCCAGGUGUCCACCGCCCACCUAUAAACACUCAGUUAUAUCGCUUAUUUUAGUUUUCAAAUCGAAAACGUAUUAUUUCCCUUCUUUUUUAUUUCCUUCAACAUUCCGAAACGUCAUCCAGUUAUACCCAGCAGCUCUUUUAUUAUGAGGCAAUUCUUCCAAACCCUUUUCUCUAUUUUUUUACGAAUCAUCAAUGCGACUUACCGCAAUUUCUUUUAAACGUAGGCGAUUUCGCCAUCCAAACUUUAUGUUUUCUUCCUUUUUAAAAUUUCUUUUUCUUCCUUUCGGCCGCUAAAAAAAAUAAACUCAGUGUUUAUUCUUUUUGUAGUAUAACCUUUUGGUAUAAGCUAUCUUAUCCGCGUGCGUGACUGACAAAAAGGUUUGUUUAUUUUUGCCAAGAAAAGAAUCUCUUUUUUUUUUCUUAUUCUAGACAAUGCUGAGCUGCUGGUGGUUCCAAUCAGUCUGCGCUUUCACGAAUGUAUCACGACACGAUGAUGAACUCAGCGAACCAAACUUGUUCAAGAGGAUCGAUAAACAUGAGGAGGAGGCAAGAACACGGCGGGGAUGAGGGGACCGCCUGCUGUUCACUGGCUAUAGUGACGUCACCAUGUCAGUGCAGCACCACUGGUUUUUCUCUGCAUACAUGUUGAGGCUGAUUAAACAAUACGCCACAGACGGCGUCUACCUGACUGGCACACGACGUUAUGUACCAUCCAGGAAAGGCCUAACAAGCAAAAAUGACAAG